ACGGGAGGCAGCAGUGGGGGAUAUUGCACAAUGGGGGAAACCCUGAUGCAGCGACGCCGCGUGAGUGAAGAAGUAUUUCGGUAUGUAAAGCUCUUUAAGCUGGAAAGAUAAUGACGGUACUAGCAGAAUAAGCCCCGGCUAACUACGUGCCAGCAGCCGCGGUAAUACGUAGGGGGCAAGCGUUAUCCGGAUUUACUGGGUGUAAAGGGAGCGUAGACGGUAAAGCAAGUCUGAAGUGAAAUCAUGGGGCUCAACCCUGUAAUUGCUUGGAAACUGUUUAACUAGAGUACCGGAGGGGCAGGCGGAAUUCCUGGUGUAGCGGUGAAAUGCGUAGAUAUCAGGAAGAACACCGGUAGCGAAGGCGGCCUGCUGGACGGUAACUGACGUUGAGGCUCGAAAGCGUGGGGAGCAAACAGGAUUAGAUACCCGGGUA
rnacentral:rRNA from 1 species